GCGGACCAUCGAAAGCAGGGCUCGGUGGAUUACUUUUCACAAUGUUUUUCAGGUCCUAGAUGCUUCUAAAUGGUAUAUAUUACACAACAUCAACUUUAUGCAGGUGUCAGAAAGAUUGGUAUGUAUGUUGAUGUGAUGUUAUCUUGUUGAAAUGUUUUUCAAUAUGCAGUUUUGUUUCGGUUGGCAUUAUCUUGUAUUCAGUGUGUUUUUCAGGUCCUAGAUGUUUCUAAAUGGUAUGUAUUACACAACAUCAAGUACAUGUAGGUGUCAAAAGGGUAGGUAUUGCAUGUGUUGUUUUCAAGUUAUCCCAGUUCUGCAAUUAUAUUGUUACAAGUUAAUGUUCCUUUGUGUACAAGUAUACUUUAUAAGUUAAACAAGAAACUGAUCCCAUUCCUAAAAACAUGGAUGCAAACUAAUUAUCUAUCUGCCCUGGUAGCUGUUUACCAUUUUCAUUCUCUGUGAGUUUGCACCCCUGUGAUAGGCACUUUACUGCUUUGUAUUAACAAAAUCACAUGGGGCUUUCUUUGGGUGUCUUUUCGCCAUGAUCAGAGUAAUAAAACCUUUUUCUUUUGCAGGUACUUGUCGGUCAUCGGGUCAAUAACGACGUGUGAUGCUGAUGAUUCCUGAACUGCUUGGAGCUCCUAUUUAAUUCAAUCAGAGCAUCAGGCGGCUGGAAUAACAAUAACAAUCCAGUUCCAGGCCAUCUUCCGCCGGCUGAUGGUUCGGUGUGGUGUCUCACCUGGUGAGACAGGCAAUGUGGCAGCCCAGGAUAACACUGUCCCUGUCUGCAGUGGAGAUGUCCUCUCCUGAAACUGCUGAAGAGCACCCAUCUCCAUUCGCCAACAUUUGGCCCUUGUGUGUGACCACAGUUAUCUCCCCACUCGGUUUGGUGGUCUGGUGGCAAAUGCUCAGGUCUACAUAGCAGGGUUUGUAGUCCGGCAGAUUCUACGAAAACUGUCCUGUGAUGUGUGCUGUGCGAGCUUGGUCAGAGAUGCUGUACCAUCUUCAUUUGACAAGAGCUACCACCUUCUAACCCGGAAAAACGGCGGCCUAGUUUUUCCAUCACAAGGCACAGUGAUGAUUUUAUUCUUUUAAUCUUUGUAUAUUAAGGUUGCUUUGUUCUUAUUUUCUCUGUUUUGUAAAGUGUCUUUGAGCACUGUGUAAAGCGCCAUAUAAAUAUAAUGUAUUUUAUAAUUUUUAUUAUUUUAAUAAGGUGUUGAGAGCUGCAG